CCGGCUGAGCACCUGCCUCCGAUCUUCUGCCUCCCCGCGACAGCCCGGCGGCUCGCGGCGGAUCCUGGGCGGGUGCACGAGGAACGGUGCGUGCGAGCAGCCCCUUCCUCUGAGCUAGGCCCCGGCAGCGCCCGCCGCGGCGGAAGCGGGUGCUCCUAGUGCGCCCCGACCCGGGCCCAGAGCUCACCGUGAGCCCAGGGAGGUGCGUUUCUGCGUGGUUGAACAGCAGCCUCAGGAUUUCCAGUGGGAAGAGUGGAUUAUUCAUCCAUUUUAUGGAGGAACCAUGGACUCAGAGUCAUGGGCUCAGCCUGUCUGACUGCAGCGCCUGGAACAGGGUGCCAAGGAGACAGCCCGUAUGGGGCCCAUCCCCAGAGGUGUGGUCCCCAGCACCAAGCCAGCAGGUGCCCGUUGGCCUCUUGAGUUGGCUUGCUGAGCUCAAACCCAGUUCUGCCAUCAUGAGAUGUAGCCUAGAGAAGGUGCUUCCCCUGCUCCCGCCUCAGUUCCUCAUGGAAUUCCUGGGCAGACAGGCCUGCAGAGCACCCAAUAAACACCCACUGCUGUUGCUGUCCCCUCAGA